AGAGUUUGAUCAUGGCUCAGGAUGAACGCUAGCUACAGGCUUAACACAUGCAAGUCGAGGGGAAACGACAUCGAAAGCUUGCUUUUGAUGGGCGUCGACCGGCGCACGGGUGAGUAACGCGUAUCCAACCUGCCCACCACUUGGGGAUAACCUUGCGAAAGUAAGACUAAAUACCCAAUGACGUCUCUAGAAGACAUCUGAAAGAGAUUAAAGAUUUAUCGGUGAUGGAUGGGGAUGCGUCUGAUUAGCUUGGUUGGCGGGGUAACGGCCCACCAAGGCGACGAUCAGGUAGGGGUUCUGAGAGGAAGGUCCCCCACAUUGGAACUGAGACACGGUCCAAACUCCUACGGGAGGCA
rnacentral:rRNA from 1 species